ensembl:lncRNA
AAUGGCUUUACGACACACCCUACAAUAUGUAUGCUUUAUGUUUAAAAGUAGGGUCAGUUAUGCAGAAGUCUCUAAGAUCUCGGCUGUGUAACAGAGUGCUGUGUAAUUUUAGGCGAAUCAUCGAUUCUUGUUUUUAACUCACCGCUAAAGCUUUAUGUUUUAUUUUGGAAAAUACUUCAAAGAGGAGAUGGCCGUCUAUCGUAACAGUAAGUGUUUUGUCUUAUUUUAUUUUAUUUUAUUAUUAUUAUUAUUAUUUUUUUUUUAUUAUUACACACUGUUAAGAAUGUUUUUAUUUAUAAACAAAUUUAUGGGUUUAUUGUGGUGUAUAAAAUAGGCUUGUCAAAUCUUGUAAACAAGAUCACUGCACCCGAGUUCAAAAAUAGUGCUGCGGUUUCUACUGAACGCCGUAUACCAACGAGCUCUGGAAAGGCCAAGCGUGAAACAGUUGCUCAGGUCCACAGCAUGGGUGUCGCAACGUCUAAACGUAAACGUUCAAAAUCUCCCCCACGCUCGACAGACAAGCCAGUUGUGAAUAAACCAUGCACUAUAGACUCUUGUUUGAACUGGAAUUUGGUUGUGUGUCGCCAGCUAUUAUAGACAAUAACAGAGACUCGAUGGAGGUGAUACGAACCGGGUUCAAGGCCAUCGAGGAUCGUAUUGCUGGAUUUGAAAAGACUUUUGCUAGCAUCGCCGAACGUCUGACAUUAUAGAGAAGAAUCAACGUCUUUAUAAUCAAAGUGUUGUGGAAGCAUUACAAAACCAUACCAUCACACAUAAACAUAUCAUAGCAACCCAGAAACUCCUUUCUGGGGGGGAUUUAUCGCGUUGAUCACAACCAAUACCUGACGACGGAUUUGUUAAAACAGCUUGUACAAUUGGUUAAAAACAAGAAGCUCGGAGCUGGUUGGUGUCUUCUUGUGCUUGUGUUUUACAACUGACGAUUUCUUGGUGUUAUAUUUUCUUUUCUUCAUCGUUUGGCCACUCCUCCGAGCUCCUGGCGGUUUAGAUGCACUUCUGCGAGCCAUCACCAUUAGUCCGGAUCCUUCUUGAGUGUUAUUAUUGUUGUUAUUAUUAUUAUUAAUGC